CAUCUUCUUGUUUGUUCCUCUACUAUCAUCGCCGCCUCACAUGGACGGUCGGCUCUUUCUCCUCCAAUUUUCAUCUUCAGGCAGCUUGGGAGCCUUGGACACCUCCUCCUCAUGGGAGGCGGUGAUCGCCGGGAUUACCGCCUCCCGCGGAGAGGUGUCAAGGCCUCUAGUUUCUACCGUUUAUGCCAAUUCCGCUGCCACCGCUGAUCGAAUUGCAGCUUCCAUCGUCGUUCUCCCUUGGACACCUUGCUCUUUUUGUUUUCUUUUCCAACCAAGAACAACAGUCGUCGGAGCUAGCUAGGGCCGUCAUUAGAUCCCGUGAAGCUCGCCGAGGCCAUCGAUGAAAAGGAGAAAGCCAUCACUCCUUUCAUCGUGAGCCAAUGGAGAGAGCUACCCAUUCUCUUGUAGCCCAAAUCGCAUGAAAUUAGGUUUUCCAUAUUGGGGUGUGGUCCAAUUAGCUUGAGCAUUUCAUGAUAACGAAAUACCUUUGUUGUUUCGUCAAUCAAAGGAAGCUGCAAGGUUGAUGUAUAUGAUUGAAACCGGCCAAGGAAGAAGUUGAAGGUAAACAAUAAAGGAAAGGUAGAGAAUGUGUCUUGAAGAAGAAGGAACAAAUGAGGAAUAAAGGAUAUAACAUUCCUUCUGAUACCCAGUACACUGCUCAAAAGCGCAAGGCUCGAUUUUAACCCUUCUUCCUCCUGAUAUAUGUGAAUUAUUUCACUAUGGUUUAUAGUAAGUUUUUUAAGGUGAUCUUUUUUAACUCUAGUUGAUAUGUGUGAAUUAUUUCACUGUAGUUAUAAUUCAUCUAUCACUUUGUUGAAAAAAAAGUGAACUACAAAGUGAAAGAGGCAAGGCAAACUUAUACCCUUACCGACUUUCUCGAAAAAGAUAUGUGGGUUUAUAUGAAGAAAGCAAGUAUUUUGUAAACAUUAAAUUCCUACUUAUGGUUGGUUGAAGUUGGUGUUAAGUAUGUUGAUUUCAUAUGGUUUUUUGCUUGAAAUCCAGUGACUUAUGUGAUGACUAUGAGAUAAACAAAGUCAUUCUCUAGAAGAGAGGAUGGCUCAACAAAGAAAGGGAAUGUCAGCGAUGAGUUGAAGCAAACAGUGAAUAAGAUUGUAAAAAAAAUAGACACAAAUUGCUUGUUUGUAUAUAUAUGAUAUAUGUAUAUAUUUACAGUUAUUGUAUUUGGAUGUAUGACAUGAUGUUUAUAUCCUGCAAAAGAAGGAUGGUGAGUUGUCCUUUACCAAACCAUUUGAAGAUAUUCUCACGAAUGCCUUGAAUUCUGACGAACAUGGUGGACGUGUGAGAGGCAUAGGAGCAAAUGUCACUCCGUCAUCCUUCUUCAAGGUUGCUAGAGGGAAGGUGCAAGUUGAUAAGGAUAACUAUGACAGGCAAUAGAAAGAGUUUAUGGAGGCAAAGGCUAUGCUUUGUGAGCAAGGUGAAAGAAUAGAAAAAUU